UGAGCCUUGCUGGCAAUGUGCUAGCUAGCUGACUAGCUAAAGAGCUAACCUUGUGUUUAGUCGUCUUUUGCGUGUUUAGUCAUUUUUUGUGUCAGUCAGUCUCGGUCCACUCUCCCUCCAAAACAAGUAUACGGUAGAAUUCUGUUAGCAAGCUUAGCCAUAUAGCUAGUUAUAACACGUAGCUGCUAAGCUAAUGCUCACAGGCAUCUUUGAAUAGUAGGCAAAAAAUAAAUAAAUAAAUAAAUAAAAAUAACAGGCUAGCAUCAAUCCAAGUUUUAAAAUAUUAGCCUUCUCUACUCCAAGGCAAAAGUUGGCAACUCUGACACUAAACUAAUACUACAAACACACGCCCCCAUCGCCUCUUCGCUACACCCUGAUCUCGGACGAUCCGGAAAAGACGAUAUGGCGGAAUCUGGACAAUCAGAAGGCCGGAUGGCAGGGCCACCCCGGUGAAGGAGCUCCUGUCUGAUUGGGGUGACUGGGAGACUAACGGACCCCGUGCUGAGUGAGGAGCGGCCGGUCCCUCGCCGAAUUCCGAGAUGACAACAAGGCCAAAUCAGAGCUGCGAAACCCGUGAAUCUGUUCCACGCGGGUCACGCUGUGAACGUUAACCCGCUCUGCGCUCUCUGACUCAGGGCACGUUUUUUUUUUAGAAAAGGUCGGAGAUUAUUAUGAUUAUACAGCGGAACGCUCAGCCCACAGGAUAUAAAAUAAGCUCGCUACUAUAGGAAAUGCUAGGCUAUUAUGUGAUUUAGCAUGCUAGCGUUAAACGUCUGUAUUAUACUUUUCCUCAGAAGUAGCUUAUUAGGUGAGUUCGCAUGUAAUUUAGUGGUAAAGAACACCUCGGGCGCACUUUUAACCCGCAUAAAUGACUGGGAUGUGACGUGGAGUGGAAGCGAUUACAGGCAUUUUCAGUGCACUUCUGUUUAGAACACGAUGCCUCGUCUCCUUCUC